AUUGAACGCUGGCGGCAUGGCUAAGACAUGCAAGUCGAGCGCGAAAGGAGCUUGCUCCGAGUAGAGCGGCGAAAGGGCGAGUAAUGCGUUCCUACGUGCCCCUUGGUCAGGGAUAGCCCGGGGAAACCCGGUGUAAUACCUGAUGUGGUCUCCGGAUCAAAGGCUUCGGCCGCCAGGGGAGCGGGGAACGUCUUAUCAGGUUGUUGGUGAGGUAAAGGCUCACCAAGCCUAAGACGGGUAGCGGGUGUGAGAGCAUGACCCGCCGCAUCGGGACUGAGACACUGCCCGGACUCCUACGGGAGGCUGCAGUAACGAAUAUUCCGCAAUGCGCGAAAGCGUGACGGAGCAAUGCCGCGUGCAGGAUGAAGCCCUUCGGGGUGUAAACUGCUGUCAGGGGACAGGAACCCAAUGACCAUCCCCAAAGGAAGGGCCGGCUAACUUCGUG
rnacentral:rRNA from 1 species